rnacentral:rRNA from 1 species
UACGGAGGGUGCAAGCGUUAAUAGGAUUCAUUGGGCGUAAAGAGCACGUAGGCGGAGUGGAAAGUUAGAUGUGAAAUCCCGGGGCUCAACUUCGGCCCCGCAUCUAAAACUCCUAUUCUAGAGGAUGGACGGAGAAAAGGGAAUUCCACGUGUAGCGGUGAAAUGCGUAGAUAUGUGGAAGAACACCGGUGGCGAAGGCGCCUUUCUAGUUUAUUCCUGACGCUGAGUUGCGAAAGCAAGGGGAGCAAACAGG